ensembl:lncRNA
AAAAACUUUCUGCCUUGGGCUAUAUGCCCAUAUUAUUUAUCAGCCAGAGGCACAAGGGCACAGGCAAGUUGAUGGCAGAUGUAGUCACGCAUCUGCCACCGACGCUAAAAACAACACACGUUUCUUAACCAGCAUGAAGAGGGCAUAUGACUUCAUAAUCAAACUGGAUGGUAAGAUAAGUUUUAUGUAUAGUUCAUUAGUGGUUGUCGUUGAUUUCUUUGACAAUGUGUACUGAAUUUAUAUUUUUGCUAACUUCACAACAGAUGUGCCCCAGCCCCAGCCCCAGCAAGACCAGCCCCUCCACCUAGACCAACCCCUACCCCAAGACCAGCUCCUGCCCCUAGACCAGCUAAUCCCACAAAAACCAGCCCGUAGACCAGCCCCAGCAAGACCAGCCCCUGCCCCUAGACCAGCCCCAGCAAGACCAGCCCCUGCCCCUAGACCAGCUAAUCCCACAAGAUCAGCCCCUAGACCAGCCCCAGCAAGACCAGCCCCUGCCCCUAGACCAGCUAAUCCCACAAGACCAGCCUACCCCAACAGACCAGCAAAUUAUUAAACUUGAACUAUUUACGAUCGACUCACAGGCUCAGCAGCAUGUGGAGCCUCUACCACCCAGGAAAAGACAAACCCCACUAUCCACCCCGGGCCUACCAUCCACCCCAGGCCAAGGCAAACGAGCCCCACCAUCCAUCCAACCUCAACUAAAGAAAAGACAAACCACAGGUAAAGGAGCCACACAAGCCCCACCCUCUACCCUGGCCAAAAAGAAGAAAACAAAAAGUUGCAAAUGCAGUCGACAGACAAUUUAUCCAUACGAUAAAAUAUUGGAAAGACGGAUGAAUGGGGGGAAGGCAGCAGAGGUCAAAGUGCACUGGCUACCUUGCUCUUCCUGUGGCAGAGUCUGGGAGGACACCUGGGAGCCGGCCAGCAAAUUCGCCUGAUGACCAAUACUGUUGUACUAUUUGUUUUGUAUAUAUUUGUCAAUAAUUAAAUUCACUAUUGUUACAUUUUAUGAUUUGUCUGUCAAUCAAUGACUGCACUGAAUAAUUAAUGUGUCAUGACUUUGUGCUGUAUUUGGAAAAGUUAAAUAGCUGAAAGUUGCAUGUAGUGACAGUCAAGUCAAGUCACCUUUAUUUAUAUAGCACUUUUUAUAAUACAGAUUGUUUCAAAGCAGCUUCACAGUGAUAACAUGAAAAUAAUACAACAAAGUUUCUUUCUAGAAGAAAAUUAAAUCCUCGUCCACCUUAAGGCAGAUUAGCAAGCCAAACUAAGCAACUAAGCAAGCCAAAACCCAAGGCAACCAGAACAAGUACCAAAU